rnacentral:rRNA from 1 species
GACGAACGCUGGCGGCGUGCUUAACACAUGCAAGUCGAACGGAAAGGCCCUGCUUUUGUGGGGUGCUCGAGUGACGAACGGGUGAGUAACACGUGAGUAACCUGCCCUUGACUUUGGGAUAACUUCAGGAAACUGGGGCUAAUACCGGAUAGGAGCUCCUGCUGCAUGGUGGGGGUUGGAAAGUUUCGGCGGUUGGGGAUGGACUCGCGGCUUAUCAGCUUGUUGGUGGGGUAGUGGCUUACCAAGGCUUUGACGGGUAGCCGGCCUGAGAGGGUGACCGGCCACAUUGGGACUGAGAUACGGCCCAGACUCCUACGGGAGGCAGCAGUAGGGAAUAUUGCACAAUGGGCGGAAGCCUGAUGCAGCAACGCCGCGUGCGGGAUGACGGCCUUCGGGUUGUAAACCGCUUUCGCCUGUGACGAAGCGUGAGUGACGGUAAUGGGUAAAGAAGCACCGGCUAACUACGUG